UUAUCACGGGAGACACACGGCGGGUGCUAACGUCCGUCGUGAAGAGGGAAACAACCCAGACCGCCAGCUAAGGUCCCAAAGUCAUGGUUAAGUGGGAAACGAUGUGGGAAGGCCCAGACAGCCAGGAUGUUGGCUUAGAAGCAGCCAUCAUUUAAAGAAAGCGUAAUAGCUCACUGGUCGAGUCGGCCUGCGCGGAAGAUGUAACGGGGCUAAACCAUGCACCGAAGCUGCGGCAGCGAACGUAUCACUUAAAGCGAUUCAGCGGGUUACGAUUGACGGAGCGAAGCGACGUCAAAGCGUAUACAAAGUCGAGUCGGUUUAAGGAUACGUUCGUUGGGUAGGGGAGCGUUCUGUAAGCCCGUGAAGGUGGCCUGUGAGGGUUGCUGGAGGUAUCAGAAGUGCGAAUGCUGACAUAAGUAACGAUAAAGCGGGUGAAAAGCCCGCUCGCCGGAAGACCAAGGGUUCCUGUCCAACGUUAAUCGGGGCAGGGUGAGUCGACCCCUAAGGCGAGGCCGAAAGGCGUAGUCGAUGGGAAACGGGUUAAUAUUCCCGUACUUGGUGUUACUGCGAAGGGGGGACGGAGAAGGCUAUGUUGGCCGGGCGACGGUUGUCCCGGUUUAAGCGUGUAGGUGUGUGUUCCAGGUAAAUCCGGUUCACUUUAACACUGAGGCGUGACGACGAGGCACUACGGUGCUGAAGCAACAAAUGCCCUGCUUCCAGGAAAAGCCUCUAAGCAUCAGGUAACAUCAAAUCGUACCCCAAACCGACACAGGUGGUCAGGUAGAGAAUACCAAGGCGCUUGAGAGAACUCGGGUGAAGGAACUAGGCAAAAUGGUGCCGUAACUUCGGGAGAAGGCACGCUGACACGUAGGUGAAGUGAUUUACUCAUGGAGCUGAAGUCAGUCGAAGAUACCAGCUGGCUGCAACUGUUUAUUAAAAACACAGCACUGUGCAAACACGAAAGUGGACGUAUACGGUGUGACGCCUGCCCGGUGCCGGAAGGUUAAUUGAUGGGGUCAGCGCAAGCGAAGCUCCUGAUCGAAGCCCCGGUAAACGGCGGCCGUAACUAUAACGGUCCUAAGGUAGCGAAAUUCCUUGUCGGGUAAGUUCCGACCUGCACGAAUGGCGUAAUGAUGGCCAAGCUGUCUCCACCCGAGACUCAGUGAAAUUGAACUCGCUGUGAAG
rnacentral:rRNA from 1 species